CAUUCUCAAAUGUAGAGUAUUUGUAAGCAAGUUAAAUAUUCUUUUUGGUUAGGCCAAAUAAAAACAUAUGUGUGGUUCCAGUAACCCUACCGUCCCUACUUUUCAGCUUAAAAAUAGCCUACCCUAAAGAUUUUAAUGUCAUUUGCCAUUAAGCACUGUUAAUGUCAGAAUGUUGCUCACAUAGACUCAAUGUAAAAAAAAAAAAAACAUAAAAUAAAAAAAAAACUUUUUUUUCAGAUGUAACUGGAACCACACAUACUUUUUUAUUUGGCUUUAGAAAAAUAAACAAUCAAAUGUAUAUGAUAUAAUCGUUUCUGUUGUAUUUGACAGUUUUUAGC
rnacentral:lncRNA from 1 species